rnacentral:misc_RNA from 1 species
GAUGAAGAACGCAGCGAAAUGCGAUACGUAAUGUGAAUUGCAGAAUUCAGUGAAUCAUCGAAUCUUUGAACGCACAUUGCGCCUGCCAGCACUCUGGCAGGCAUGCCUGUUCGAGCGUCAUUUCAACCAUCAAGCCCUAGGCUUGCGUUGGAGCCCUGCGGCUGCCGCAGGCCCCUAAAAGCAGUGGCGGGCUCGCUAUCACACCGAGUGCAGUAGAUUACUCUUCGCUCAGGGCGUGUGGCUGGUUCCAGCCGUGAAACCCCCUACUUCUCAAGGUUGACCUCGGAUCAGGUAGGAAUACCCGCUGAACUUAAGCAUAUCAAUAAGCGGAGGA